rnacentral:rRNA from 1 species
UACGGAGGGGGCUAGCGUUGUUCGGAAUUACUGGGCGUAAAGCGCGCGUAGGCGGCUUGACAAGUUGGAGGUGAAAGCCCGGAGCUCAACUUCGGAAUUGCCUUCAAGACUGUCUCGCUCGAGGCAGGGAGAGGAGAGCGGAAUACCCAGUGUAGAGGUGAAAUUCGUAGAUAUUGGGUGGAACACCGGUGGCGAAGGCG